GGAGGCAGACAGUGCCCCUUGGCGUUCGCUGAAGAAACUGCAUUUGCUUGUUGAGCAGGGAAAGCGCCGCGAAAGCAUGCAUGCACAUCCCCGACCUAACCUUACUUCUCGUUUCCGAGGAUUGUGACUCCCACCAGGACACCACCAGGCCUUGGUUUUCUGCAGCUCUGUGGCUCUGGCCUGAAACACACACUCUACACUAUCUGUUUGAUGAAUGAUGGACAUGAAAUAAAUAUUUUUAAAGUAAUUGCGAAGCUACAGUAUUGAAAGCUUCCUGGAAGUUAAAGAUGGCAAGGAGGGUGAAAGCAUCCUAGUGACCCUCUUCCCUUGGAAACUCUCCUGCUGAUCCGGUGCUGCAGGAUCCUGCCUAGGCAGCUAUUGUGGACAAAAUCCAACCCAGUGCUGGAAAUUUCCAACAGCCUCUCUAUGAUUUUAUGAGCAGAUGGCACCAUUUGGAAAAUAUUUCGGAAUUUACAGAUUUUGUCCAGGAUUUUUUAUUUUCAUUUUCUCUAUA